AAUGGCUGUCCGUAGUGUGGUCUCUAUAUUUACGAUGAUUAAUAUCGGACAACCAUUGU
rnacentral:pre_miRNA from 1 species